AGUUUGAUCAUGGCUCAGAUUGAACGCUGGCGGCAUGCCUAACACAUGCAAGUCGAACGGAAACAGGACAAACAAUACCCUUCGGGGUGUUGUGUCGCUGUCGAGUGGCGGACGGGUGAGUAAUGCUUGGGAAUCUACCCAGUAGUGGGGGACAACACGGGGAAACUCGUGCUAAUACCGCAUACGUCCUACGGGAGAAAGUGGGGGAUCUUCGGACCUCACGCUAUUGGAUGAGCCCAAGUCGGAUUAGCUUGUUGGUGGGGUAAAGGCCUACCAAGGCGACGAUCCGUAGCUGGUCUGAGAGGACGAUCAGCCACACUGGGACUGAGACACGGCCCAGACUCCUACGGGAGGCAGCAGUGGGGAAUAUUGGACAAUGGGGGCAACCCUGAUCCAGCAAUGCCGCGUGUGUGAAGAAGGCCUGCGGGUUGUAAAGCACUUUCAGUAGAGAAGAAAUGCCCGGGGUUAAUAGCCACGGGUCUUGACGUAACCUACAGAAGAAGCACCGGCUAACUCCGUGCCAGCAGCCGCGGUAAUACGGAGGGUGCGAGCGUUAAUCGGAAUUACUGGGCGUAAAGCGCGCGUAGGCGGCCUGAUCAGUCGGAUGUGAAAGCCCUGGGCUUAACCUGGGAAUUGCAUUCGAUACUGUCAGGCUAGAGUAUGGGAAAGGAAAGUGGAAUUUCCGGUGUAGCGGUGAAAUGCGUAGAUAUCGGAAGGAACACCAGUGGCGAAGGCGACUUCCUGGCCCAAUACUGACGCUCAGGUGCGAAAGCGUGGGUAGCGAACAGGAUUAGAUACCCUGGUAGUCCACGCCGUAAACGAUGAGAACUAGAUGUCGGGAGGAUUUACCUCUCGGUGUCGCAGCUAACGCGUUAAGUUCUCCGCCUGGGGAGUACGCCGGCAACGGUAAAACUCAAAGGAAUUGACGGG
rnacentral:rRNA from 1 species